UACGGAGGAUGCGAGCGUUAUCCGGAUUUAUUGGGUUUAAAGGGUGCGUAGGCGGGACCUUAAGUCAGCGGUAAAAUUGCGGUGCUCAACGCCGUAGAGCCGUUGAAACUGUGUCCCUUGAGUGCGCGAAGGGUAGGCGGAAUGCGUGGUGUAGCGGUGAAAUGCAUAGAUAUCACGCAGAACUCCGAUUGCGAAGGCAGCAUACCGGCGCCCAACUGACGCUGAAGCACGAAAGCGUGGGUAUCGAACAGG
rnacentral:rRNA from 1 species